GAACAUGGGUUCUUCUGCAGUACAAUUGUUUCUCAUCUUGGGGCUUCUGGCUACUUCUUGCAUAGCACAAGCCCCAGGUGGCGCACCCACGCAGCCUCCCACAACCACCCCACCACCACCGCCCGCAGCAGCACCAGUACCUGCACCCACUGCACCCGCAACUCCACCACCAUCUUCACCACCACCUGCACCCACACCCGCACCCACACCAACUGCUCCCACUCCUGCUCCAGCUUCUUCUCCUUCAUCUGCUGCAUCUCCCUCAGCUGAGUCACCAGGCUCUCCUACAUCUCCCCCAGCACCAC
rnacentral:lncRNA from 1 species